rnacentral:rRNA from 1 species
CGGUAGGGUGCGAGCGUUAAUCGGAAUUACUGGGCGUAAAGCGUGCGCAGGCGGUUUUGUAAGACAGGCGUGAAAUCCCCGGGCUCAACCUGGGAACUGCGCUUGUGACUGCAAGGCUAGAGUACGGCAGAGGGGGGUGGAAUUCCACGUGUAGCAGUGAAAUGCGUAGAGAUGUGGAGGAACACCAAUGGCGAAGGCAGCCCCCUGGGUCGAUACUGACGCUCAUGCACGAAAGCGUGGGUAGCAAACAGGAUUAGAUACCCUGGUAGUCCACGCCUAAACGAUGUCAACUAGGUGUUGGGUGGGUAAAACCAUUUAGUACCGGAGCUAACGCGUGAAGUUGACCGCCUGGGGAGUACGGCCGCAAGGUUA